AUUGAACGCUGGCGGCAUGCCUUACACAUGCAAGUCGAACGGCAGCACGGGGCAACCUGGUGGCGAGUGGCGAACGGGUGAGUAAUGUAUCGGAACGUACCAUUGAGUGGGGGAUAACGUAGCGAAAGUUACGCUAAUACCGCAUAUUCUCUCCGGAGGAAAGCGGGGGACCGCAAGGCCUUGCGCUCUUUGAGCGGCCGAUAUCAGAUUAGCUAGUUGGUGAGGUAAAGGCUCACCAAGGCGACGAUCUGUAGCGGGUCUGAGAGGAUGAUCCGCCACACUGGAACUGAGACACGGUCCAGACUCCUACGGGAGGCAGCAGUGGGGAAUUUUGGACAAUGGGGGCAACCCUGAUCCAGCCAUGCCGCGUGAGUGAAGAAGGCCUUCGGGUUGUAAAGCUCUUUCGGCCGGGAAAAAAUCGCAUGGGCUAAUACCCUGUGUGGAUGAUGGUACCGGAAUAAGAAGCACCGGCUAACUACGUGCCAGCAGCAGCCGCGG
rnacentral:rRNA from 1 species